UAUCUUGUUUGAUGAACGACAACGCGGUC
rnacentral:piRNA from 1 species